rnacentral:rRNA from 1 species
GUCGAGAAUUUUUCUCAAUGGGGGAAACCCUGAAGGAGCGACGCCGCGUGGAGGAUGAAGGUCUUCGGAUUGUAAACUCCUGUCAUUAGGGAACAAACCUUCCGGUUAACUGCCGGAAAGCUGAUAGUACCUGAAGAGGAAGAGACGGCUAACUCUGUGCCAGCAGCCGCGGUAAUACAGAGGUCUCAACCGUUGUUCGGAUUUAUUGGGCGUAAAGGGUGCGUAGGCGGCGGGGCAAGUCAGGUGUGAAAUCUCGGGGCUUAACCCCGAAACUGCACUUGAUACUGCCUUGCUAGAGUACUGGAGAGGAGACUGGAAUUUACGGUGUAGCAGUGAAAUGCGUAGAUAUCGUAAGGAAGACCAGUGGCGAAGGCGAGUCUCUGGACAGUUACUGACGCUGAGGCACGAAGGCCAGGGGAGCAAACGGGAUUAGAAACCCGUGUAGUCC